rnacentral:rRNA from 1 species
GUGGGGAAUCUUGCGCAAUGGGCGAAAGCCUGACGCAGCCAUGCCGCGUGAAUGAUGAAGGUCUUAGGAUUGUAAAAUUCUUUCACCGGGGACGAUAAUGACGGUACCCGGAGAAGAAGCCCCGGCUAACUUCGUGCCAGCAGCCGCGGUAAUACGAAGGGGGCUAGCGUUGCUCGGAAUUACUGGGCGUAAAGGGCGCGUAGGCGGACAGUUUAGUCAGAGGUGAAAGCCCAGGGCUCAACCUUGGAAUUGCCUUUGAUACUGGCUGUCUUGAGUACUGGAGAGGUGAGUGGAACUCCGAGUGUAGAGGUGAAAUUCGUAGAUAUUCGGAAGAACACCAGUGGCGAAGGCGACUCACUGGCCCGUUACUGACGCUGAGGCGCGAAAGCGUGGGGAGCAAACAGGAUUAGAAACCCUGGUAGUCC